AACCAUAGCGCAGAACAGGAAGUUGUGUUUCCACCCGGACUCUCUCGUGUGAUGCACCACGUGCUCGGUGUUUUGUUUCAUGUUUGUGUGAUCUGUGUGCGGCGGAGGAUCAAAGAGAACAUCAUUAACUACAGACACCUUCUGCGGCUGCGCGGCUUUCUGACUCGGCAUGUCUCAGGACAGUCAACACGGCAGGUGGACC